rnacentral:lncRNA from 1 species
AAUGAAGAUGGCCACGCGGCGUGGCACCAGCUCGCAGUCGUACUCUAUGCGCUGUGCUCGGGCGAUGAACUUCCCAUCUGAGUUGUGCCCCAGCUGCCCGUACUCUGGGCACCCAAAGGAGUAGAGGUUUCCUUUGCAGUCCAUGAUCAUGCUGAACUCAGCCCCACAGGCCAUUUUGGUGAUGGGCUGCCCAUUGUACAUGAUCUGCGUAGGGCUUGGAACAGCAUCUGUUUGGUUCCCAAGACCAAGCUGCCCCAUUUUGUUCUCCCCAAAAGCAUAUACGGAGCCAGUCUCUGUGAGAGCCAGCGUGUGGUUCCGGCCACACGCCGCCAGCACGAUGGCCUCGCUGCCCAGCACCUCGAUGAGCUUGGGGGCUUCCACACGCUUUGUGUCCCCAUGGCCCAGCUGCCCCUUCUCAUUGCGACCCCAGCUCCACAGCUUGCCCUCAGCAGUGAUGAGGAGGCUAUGAGCCGCACAUGGUCCCGAAACCACACUCCGCACCUGAACACCUGAGAGACACCCAUACCUGUGUGGCCCCCAUAAAUUCUGGCCCAGGUUUCGAUAUGCGGCUUGCUGCUUAGGCACUUCUUUGCGGCCAAUCAGGUCCCAGUUGGUGGCCCCAAAGAUCAGGAGCUGUCCUCUGCACUUGGAGCCCUCAAGUUUGAUGCGCUCCUUGCUGUGCUCGGGCUCGCAGAUGACCACCGCCUGUCCCCGCGCCGCACUGCCGGGCCCGGGGCCGAGAGCCGAACCCGAGCCGGGCGCUGCGGGCCGGCCGGGCCUCCUCCCUCCUCCUCCUGGGCUGCCGUCCCGCGGCCUCCGCUCCCGGGGCGCCUCCUCGUCGCUGCUACCGCCGCUGCUGCCGCCGCCUCCUCCGCCGUUACGAGGCCUCCGCCUCCCCCCCGCCGCCCCGGGCCUCCUCCUGCCCGGGCCGGGCUCCCAGGGCGGCCCCGCCGCCUUCCUCCGGGGCAUGGCGCCUGCGAGGGGCGGCCCCGACACUGCUUAGGGGGGGCCCCGAUUGUGCCGCCGCCGCCUUCGAGCCCUCUGUGGCUGUUUGCUGGGGGGGUUCCGGGGGGCGAUUUUUUUGUAUGGCCGAGUCGGGUGGGAAGGGGGAGAUUUUGGUGGGGGGGGGAAGCGCCAAAAAAU